GACAGAGGUGCCAAGCGUUAGGCGGAAUCACUGGGCUUAAAGCGUGUGUAGGCGGAUUCCUAAGUACCUUGUGAAAUCCCACGGCUCAACCGUGGAACUGCUCGGUAUACUGGUCGUCUUGAGCCUUCUAGGGGCGAGUGGAACAAAUGGUGGAGCGGUGAAAUGCGUAGAUAUCGUCUGGAACGCCGAAGGUGAAAACAGCUCGCUGGGGCUGCGCUGACGCUGAGACACGAAAGCCAGGGGAGCGAACGGG
rnacentral:rRNA from 1 species